rnacentral:lncRNA from 1 species
AUCCACAAUUGUAUUGUCUCUAACUACUCCUUCAUCAUUUAUCUACUAAAAAAACUUCUAAUAUAAUCUCCAACCUUCAACAUUCACCACCAAUCAUCCAACAAAUUCAACCAUCCAACAAACAUUUCCCAUUCCUUUGCUAAUCAUUUCAUCCAUCACAUUGAAAAUCCUUGCACCUCGAAAGGAGAUGUUUGUCUUCUAAAAUAGAAUUAAUAGGUAAGCAGCAUAAA